UACGAAGGGGGCUAGCGUUACUCGGAUUGACUGGGCGUAAAGGGCGCGUAGGCGGUUUGUACAGUCAGACGUGAAAUUCCUGGGCUCAACCUGGGGGCUGCGUUUGAUACGUGCAGACUUGAGUUCGGAAGAGGGUCGUGGAAUUCCCUGUGUAGAGGUGAAAUUCGUAGAUAUUGGGAAGAACACCGGUGGCGAAGGCGGCGACCUGGUCCGAUACUGACGCUGAGGCGCGAAAGCGUGGGGAGCAAACAGG
rnacentral:rRNA from 1 species